ACUGAGUGGAUCAGUGUGUGUCUACCCUGCGCUGAUAGACGUGGGUAACCCGCUAAACCCACUCAUGAUAGGGAUUGGGAACUGCAAUUAUUUCCCAUCAAC
rnacentral:ncRNA from 1 species